AAUCAUCAAAACCCUUUCUUUGAUCCCUUUUGUGGUCAGGAAAAGGAUUUUUGGACUUGGAGGUUUUAUGCUUGCUUUUGCUUUCAAAAGUGAGCUCCUCUCAAAUGAAUUAGUGGGGUCUGCUUUGCUGGUCCUUGACGUGAUAAGAUGUUUCUACGUUUUGGAUUUGGCACUGUCCCUUGGACGCCUGCUUUUAACUGUCUCUCGAGACAAUGAUGGUGCUUCGGUCACCGGCCAAUCUACAUUGGCGGGGGAGGCUGGACCCACAAAAAGAAAAGA
rnacentral:misc_RNA from 1 species